AAUCAACGCUGGCGGCGUGCCUAACACACGCAAGUCGAACGCGAAAGUCCCGCAAGGGAUUAGUAGAGUGGCAAACGGGUGAGUAACACGUGGGUGACCUGCCUUCGAGUGGGGGAUAACGUCCCGAAAGGGACGCUAAUACCGCAUAACAUCCUGCCUUUGAAGAGGUGGAGAUCAAAGCUGGGGACCGCAAGGCCUGGCGCUGGAAGAGGGGCCCGCGUCUGAUUAGCUAGUUGGUGAGGUAACGGCUCACCAAGGCAACGAUCAGUAUCCGGCCUGAGAGGGCGGACGGACACACUGGGACUGAGACACGGCCCAGACUCCUACGGGAGGCAGCAGUGGGGAAUUGUUCGCAAUGGGCGCAAGCCUGACGACGCAACGCCGCGUGGAGGAUGAAGA
rnacentral:rRNA from 1 species